rnacentral:tRNA from 1 species
UCUGCCUGUGGCCUAGUGGGCAAGGUUACAGUCUUGGGAACACAGGGUCGUAGGUUCAAGCCCAACUAGGAGUG